UACGGGGGGGGCAAGCGUUGUUCGGAAUUACUGGGCGUAAAGGGCUCGUAGGCGGCCAACUAAGUCCGACGUGAAAUCCCCAGGCUUAACCUGGGAACUGCGUCGGAUACUGGAUGGCUUGAAUUCGGGAGAGGGAUGCAGAAUUCCAGGUGUAGCGGUGAAAUGCUUAGAUAUCGUCAAGAACACCUAUAGCGAAGGCAGCUUACUAGGCUGUAACUGACGCUGAGACGCGAAAGCGUGGGGAGCGAACAGG
rnacentral:rRNA from 1 species